rnacentral:rRNA from 1 species
CAAGAGCGUAUGUAAAAGUUGUUGCAGUUAAAAAGCUCGUAGUUGAACCUCGGGUUUGGUUGGCCGGUCCGCUUUUUUGCGAGUACUGGAUUCAACCGAGCCUUUCCUUCUGGCUAACCAGUCGUUUCGGCGGCUGGCGAACCAGGAUUUUUACUUUGAGAAAAUUAGAGUGUUCAAAGCAGGCAUUAGCUUGAAUAUAUUAGCAUGGAAUAAUAGAAUAGGACGUUAUGGUUCUAUUUUGUUGGUUUCUAGGACCAUCGUAAUGAUUAAUAGGGACGGUCGGGGGCAUCAGUAUUCAGUUGUCAGAGGUGAAAUUCUUGGAUUUACUGAAGACUAACUACUGCGAAAGCAUUUGCCAAGGACGUUUUCAUUAA